GGACAACCUGCCCUAAGGUGAGGGAUAACUCCGGGAAACUGGAGAUAAUACCUCAUAGUUUACCAUCGCUGGAAUGCCUGGUAAGCGAAAGGUCCGCCGCCUUAGGAUGGGUCUGCGGCCGAUUAGGUAGUUGUUGGGGUAACGGCCCAACAAGCCUGUGAUCGGUACGGGUUGUGGGAGCAAGAGCCCGGAGAUGGAUUCUGAGACACGAAUCCGGGCCCUACGGGGCGCAGCAGGCGCGAAAACUUUACAAUGCAGGCAACUGUGAUAAGGGAACCCCGAGUGCCCGUAUGGACGGGCUGUUCAGGUGCUUAAAAACCACCUGGAGAAAGGGCCGGGCAAGACCGGUGCCAGCCGCCGCGGUAAUACCGGCGGCUCGAGUGGUGGCCACUAUUACUGGGCUUAAAGCGUCCGUAGCUUGGUCGUUAAGCCUCUGGGGAAAUCUUCCGGCUCAACCGGAAGGCGUCUCAGGGGAACUGGCGACCUAGGGAUCGGGAGAGGUGAGAGGUACUCUGGGGGUAGGAGUGAAAUCCUGUAAUCCUCAGGGGACCACCUGUGGCGAAGGCGUCUCACCAGAACGACUCCGACAGUGAGGGACGAAAGCUGGGGGAGCAAACCGGAUUAGAUACCCGGGUAGUCCCAGCCGUAAACGAUGCGCGUUAGGUGUAUCAGUGACCACGAGUUACCGAGGUGCCGAAGGGAAACCGUGAAACGCGCCGCCUGGGAAGUACGGUCGCAAGGCUGAAACUUAA
rnacentral:rRNA from 1 species